AUUGAACGCUGGCGGCAUGCCUAACACAUGCAAGUCGAACGCGAAAGAGGGGCAACUCUCGAGUAGAGUGGCGGACGGGUGAGUAAUACGUAGGAAUCUGCCCUAGAGUGGGGGAUAACCUGUCGAAAGACGGGCUAAUACCGCAUAUACUCCGAGGAGCAAAGGUGGCUAGCAAUAGCCUUCGCUUUAGGAUGAGCCUACGUCGGAUUAGCUAGUUGGUAGGGUAAUGGCCUACCAAGGCAACAAUCCGUAGCUGGUCUGAGAGGACGAUCAGCCACACUGGAACUGAGACACGGUCCAGACUCCUACGGGAGGCAGCAGUGGGGAAUAUUGGACAAUGGGGGAAACCCUGAUCCAGCAAUGCCGCGUGUGCGAUGAAGGCCUGCGGGUUGUAAAGCACUUUCGUUGGGGAAGAAAUGCUCAAAGAUAAUACAUUUGAGAGCUGACGUUACCCAAAGAAGAAGCACCGGCAAACUCUGUGCCAGCCGCCGCAGUAA
rnacentral:rRNA from 1 species